CGGGGGGAGCAAGCGUUGUUCGGAUUUACUGGGCGUAAAGGGCGCGUAGGCGGUCAGCACAAGUCAGUUGUGAAAUCUCCGGGCUUAACUCGGAAAGGUCAACUGAUACUGUGCGACUAGAGUGCAGAAGGGGCAACUGGAAUUCUCGGUGUAGCGGUGAAAUGCGUAGAUAUCGAGAGGAACACCUGCGGCGAAGGCGGGUUGCUGGGCUGACACUGACGCUGAUGCGCGAAAGCCAGGGGAGCGAACGGGAUUAGAUACCCCGGUAGUCCUGGCCUUAAACGAUGGAUGCUUGGUGUCUGGAGUUUUAUAGUCUCCGGGUGCCGUAGCUAACGCGUUAAGCAUCCCGCCUGGGGAGUACGGUCGCAAGACUG
rnacentral:rRNA from 1 species